UACGGGGGGGGCAAGCGUUGUUCGGAAUUACUGGGCGUAAAGGGCUCGUAGGCGGCCAACUAAGUCAGACGUGAAAUCCCUCGGCUUAUCCGGGGAACUGCGUCUGAUACUGGAUGGCUUGAAUCCGGGAGAGGGAUGCGGAAUUCCAGGUGUAGCGGUGAAAUGCGUAGAUAUCUGGAGGAACACCGGUGGCGAAGGCGGCAUCCUGGACCGGCAUUGACGCUGAGGCGCGAAAGCCAGGGGAGCAAACGGG
rnacentral:rRNA from 1 species